rfam:Sorghum bicolor cultivar BTx623 chromosome 1, whole genome shotgun sequence.
GUUGUCGUAUUUACUUUAAUCCACGUGUGUUGGUGUGGAUUGGAGUGGAAUUUAGUUCAAGUUCCACUCCAAUCUACCUCAACACAUGUGGAUUGAUGUGAAUACGAUU